rnacentral:rRNA from 1 species
AUGCUGCAAAGGUCAUGUUGUCUUGCCAGUUCCAUGAAUGAAAUACCAAGACUAACUUCCAGGAAGUACAAGCUGCCAAUUGAAGUUUAUCGAACGUCAAGAGACAUUUCCAAACAUAUGUGCAUUGAUGUGAAGGAAAAUGUAGCUGAUAUAAAUGGCGGGCUGCAUUCUGGCUCAGGGAAAAUAUCGGCAAUUGCUGAAAAUAGAAGUGCUCCAGCAAAAAACUGCAAAGCAAGGAUGAAAAAGGAUAUUUAUGGAUGCCCCCAUGGACCUUGUACAAUUUCGUGCUUAAGAUGUACUGUGAGAAAUGAAUCUUGA